GUCCUUUUCGUCUAGGGGUUAGGAUUCCACCUUUUCACGGUGGCGACACGAGUUCGAAUCUCGUAAGGGAUA
rfam:Auxenochlorella protothecoides strain 0710 contig1223, whole genome shotgun sequence.